UUAUGUUGGUCCUUACCAUUCUGUUAUACAGAGAAACCGCUGUCGAGUCUGAUAAAAAAAUUUGGUCUUCUCAUGCUCCACAGCGUUUCUCUGUAUAACCAAAUGUUUUAGGGUCAUUAUUCUUUUCUGGAUCCUCAACCCUUUGCAACUUUUUUGACGUCCUGGUAAUGGUAUCAUUAAGAAAAAACAUUCUUUUUUCUCAAUUGCUGUAUGUUUACUUGCUUUCGAUUGAAAUCUUGAACACUAGUGUGAUGCUAUUUUCAUAUGCAUAUGAUAUUUAUUCUGUUAUUAGUCCAUUUUUGUAUAUUAAUCCUAGGGGCAGCAGCAUUAGGUAUCUUUGCUGACUAUUCAGCAAUAGCCUGUUGAAAUACACCAUAGCUUUACCCUGUGGGAAGCGGCUACCGAUUUCCCUUUGUCAUAACAAAAAAAUACACCAAUAGAAGUAAUGUAGUAUGAUUUAGCCCAAAACAGGAUUUUCUGAAUAACUGUUAGGCAGGGAUGAUCACUGGGUUCUACAGUCCUGUGGACUUAUUAAAUUUUAACUUUUAGUAUACCAUAAGUUGGAUGACUCAACUGUAUGAUAAUUGAUCCUUUGACAGUUUAAGCCUUUAUGUUGCACUGGCUAUAGAACUUCUGCAAAGAAUGAUUGGGAAAUUGCAAGGUAUUAAUUCCAACCUUACCAUAGAAUGCUCCCUUUGGGGUAUCAUGAGUAGUUAAGGUAGGUCUUCAACAUGUUGGAAAUCAAGAACAUUCUUUGCAUAAAUGAAAGAAUCUAAGCAUUGAAACCGUGGAUAAAUAGCAAGUCUAGAGUCUUCAGUGCUGCACUGAGCAUUAUUGCUGCAAAUGUAGCCACUUAAAGAAUAUUUAAGUCUGUUGCCACUCAAUUACUCAACUAUUGUAACAAGCAUGGAGGUUCUAUACUUAAAUUUGAUGACUCACCUUAUGGAAGGAGGAACAGUAGAAAAAAAGGUUUGAUGAAAUAGUAAGGGAUAACUCAAGCAGCACGUGUGGAUUGCUGUACACUUAGAUGAACAUUGCAAUGCACUGUAAUCGUUUGUAUCCUAAGAUUCAGGAAUGAUAAUGGUGUAUAUGACCAAAACUCUCUACCUCAAUAGAACUUGAAAAAAGAAAGUGUGGUGGUUCUUAUUUCCGGGGAAGGAUUCGUCAAGGUUAUGGGUGGAGAUGUAUGCAAUUGCAGGAUUGGGGAGGGGUAGAUAUGGAAUGUUAAUUGGCAUAUUUGGGAAGAAUGGAUUCAUAUUCUGAGUUUAUUGACUUUAAGAAGGUACAAAUGAUUUCUUAACAUGAGAGGAUGCACUAUAGUCCAAGUAUUUUGCACUUUGGGCGAAGGAAACAAAACGAAAGUCUGGUCAAAAUACGAGAGUCCCAAGAGGAUGAUGCAAAACUAGUGGCAGAAUUCAAUGUUUGUGAGUUUAGCUGCUACGGAAUACUGUGUUUAAAUCUCUAAAGUUAGAACUCUUAUCAUUUGUACAGCAACAGUUCCAAUAAUUUAACAGUUUUCCAAAUUGUACUGUACUUAUCUUAUGUUGAAAGAAGUUCAGUAACGCAUUGAGAUUCACAAUUCGAGUUUCUUAUUGAUAUACAACUAACAACUUUUCACUUUUUCUUCUGGUCUUAGACAAGAAGUGACUCCUUUAUGUGGAUCCUUAUUUGUUUCAGAAAGAAGAAUCUAGCAGCAGAUGGGUCAUAUUUGUGGACGAGGCUUCCUAAGUAUAUUAAGACUGAUGGACAUGCUCGUUAGACCUGUCUCUGGAAAGAACAGAAGAAAGAGAAACAUUAUCUUCAACAAACAUGCUUGUAUGCAGAAAGUGUCCCUAGCUGGGUAGUCUUUGGACAUAUUUUGGAAUAUAGUAAGUAAUAGUUAUAUAGCAUUUACUCGGGAAGAUGUCGAAAAAGACAUGCUCUGCAGGCCCAGCCCUUAAGGGUCCUGGGGAGGCGGGGGUCAGGACCUGAUAAACAUUAAAGAACUCUUUCUACAGAUUGAAUACAAAGGUAAGAGUUCAGCACCUUAUCAUAGCUCUAUUUUGUUCCAG
rnacentral:lncRNA from 1 species